rnacentral:rRNA from 1 species
CCUACGGGUGGCAGCAGUGAGGAAUAUUGGUCAAUGGACGCAAGUCUGAACCAGCAACGUCGCGUGGAGGAUGAAGGUUUUCGGAUUGUAAACUCCUUUUGUUAGAGAAGAUAAUGACGGUAUCUAACGAAUAAGCACCGGCUAACUCCGUGCCAGCAGCCGCGGUAAUACGGAGGGUGCAAGCGUUACUCGGAAUCACUGGGCGUAAAGAGCGCGUAGGCGGGAUAGCAAGUCAGAUGUGAAAUCCUAUGGCUUAACCAUAGAACUGCAUUUGAAACUGUUAUUCUAGAGUAUGGGGAAGGUAGGUGGAAUUCGUGGUGUAGGGGUAAAAUCCGUAGAGAUCAAGAGGAAUACUCAUUGCGAAGGCGACCUGCUAGAACAUAACUGACGCUGAUGCGCGAAAGCGUGGGGAGCAAACAGGAUUAGAUACCCCAGUAGUC